CUUAGAAGUGGGCCUAUAAGCCGGGUUCUGUCGAGGACGAUCAUUCCUCUAGGCGUACAAUCACUCAUACGCUCAAGCGACCUACCCGAAUCCAGUACGGGCCGUACCUCAGGAUUCCUAUUUGGUCUUGCUUCUGGUGGGGUUUACCUUGCCGUGAACUGUUACCAGACACGCGGUGCGCUCUUACCGCACCCUUUCACCCUUACCUCACGAAUGAGGCGGUCUACUCUCUGCUGCACUUGCCGUCGGCUUUCGCCGCCCAGGCGUUACCUGGCACCCUGCCCUAUGAAGCCCGGACUUUCCUCCCCUGCUUCAGUCACGGAGACCUCCACAGCAGCGACCGUCCAGCCCACUUC
rnacentral:RNase_P_RNA from 1 species